rnacentral:rRNA from 2 species
UACGACUCUCGGCAACGGAUAUCUCGGCUCUCGCAUCGAUGAAGAACGUAGCGAAAUGCGAUACUUGGUGUGAAUUGCAGAAUCCCGUGAACCAUCGAGUCUUUGAACGCAAGUUGCGCCCGAGGCCUCCAGGCCGAGGGCACGCCUGCCUGGGCGUCACGC